rnacentral:rRNA from 1 species
ACAAGCGGCGACGCAAAGAAGGUCGGAUACGCCGUCGGGAGAGUCGAGAAGAGUUAACUUUUCUUUUUGAGGUGCGCUCGCUGACCCUGGAAGCGGUUCUGCCGGAGAUAGGGAGCGAGAGCAAUCAACUUUAUCCGCAAAGCCGGCUCCAGCGGGGGCCUGUUCGGCUACGACUCGACGGCCCUUGAAACUCCGACGGCUAAACACACAUGAUAAUUUUUCCGCUCUCGCCUCGGGCCGUACCUCAAUCCGCCGCAGGUCUCCAAGGUUCGCAGCCUCUGGUCGAUAGAACAAUGUAGGUAAGGGAAGUCGGCAAAAUGGAUCCGUAACUUCGGGAGAAGGAUUGGCUCUGAGGGCCGAGCGACCCGCUGCUAGCUUCGGAAGAGGGAAUCAUAGAGCGGGAGACCGCCAGGUGGCAUAUUAAUUUGGACUUGGGCGCACCGAACGGCGAACGUUCUACCUUCGGAAGGGCAGGCGGACGGAGCGGGGCUAGGGGCGACUCUCCCCGUUUUCGGCACGGGCGCGAGGAACGGCUCGAUCAGAACUGGCACGGUCCGGGGGAAUCCGACUGUUUAGUAAAAACAUAGCGUCUCGAAGGCCGGAGAUCGGUGUUGACGGGACGUGAUUUCUGCCCAGUGCUCUGAAUGUCACGGUGAAGAAAUUUACGGAAGCGCGGGUAAACGGCGGGAGUAACUAUGACUCUCUUAAGGUAGCCAAAUGCCU